UACGUAGGGUGCGAGCGUUGUCCGGAAUUACUGGGCGUAAAGGGCUCGUAGGCGGCCAACUAAGUCAGACGUGAAAUCCCCAGGCUCAACUUGGGAACUGCGUCUGAUACUGGAUGGCUUGAAUUCGGGAGAGGGAUGCAGAAUUCCAGGUGUAGCGGUGAAAUGCGUAGAUAUCUGGAGGAAUACCGGUGGCGAAGGCGGCAUCCUGGACCGAGAUUGACACUGAUGAGCGAAAGCUAGGGGAGCAAACGGG
rnacentral:rRNA from 1 species